rnacentral:rRNA from 1 species
AUUGAACUGAAGAGUUUGAUCAUGGCUCAGAUUGAACGCUGGCGGCAGGCCUAACACAUGCAAGUCGAGCGGAUGACGGGAGCUUGCUCCUUGAUUCAGCGGCGGACGGGUGAGUAAUGCCUAGGAAUCUGCCUGGUAGUGGGGGACAACGUUUCGAAAGGAACGCUAAUACCGC